AUCUUUGGCGAGAAGAAAACGAGAAGUCAAUCUAAUUUCUUAUUCGCUAAGCCAAGAGCAAUAUAUAAAACACACACAAACAACGUAUUCUUCUCUGCGUUUCACAGAGAGAGAGAGAGGCGGUGAUAGCGGCUGACGGGUACGCUUGGGGCUUGGGGUUCCGGCAUAACAUCCGAUUUUCUCGUUCCUGAGCGGUUCUGUAAUUGUAUAGGGUUAGGGUUUUACUAUUGGUUCUCGGAUUUUGGAGCACACUGGUUGGUUGUUUCUUCUGCAGCUAUGGGGUCGUCGACCAAGGUCAUCAAGGUUCAAUAUGCGGAAACACUGAGGCGUUUCAAUGCUAGUGUCAAUGAGAACAAUCAACUGGAUCUUGACAUGGUUGGAUUGCGAGAAAAGAUCUUGAGUCUUUUCAAUCUCCGCCCUGAUGCUGACAUUACUAUGACGUACAUUGAUGAAGAUGGUGAUGAAGUGACUCUUGUUGAUGAUGGUGAUCUGCAUGACACGAUGAGGCAGAAGCUCAAAUUCUUGAAGAUAUUUGUACAGAUUAACAAGGAUAAAUCUGCCAAGUCAAGUGGAGGUUCUACUCCUUUGAGGUCCCCUCAAGGUCCACCUCCAGUACCAAAUUUUGAUGCUGGUGCGGCACUGAAGUCCCUGCCAGAGCCAUUUCGGGAAUUUGCUUCUAAGUUUCCUCUUGAAUUGGCUUCAAAAUCUGCAUCAUCCAGUCCGGUGUUUGCGGAGCUUGUUGACUGGUUUUCAAAGAUGGGCCUAUCGUACUUGAUUCCAGAUGCCCAGGUUCAGACCGCUGGAGAUUCAAGCAAGCAGAGCGGCGCCUCUGGGAGUGCCGUUGCUCCAUCAGCUGCUGGUAAUUCAAAUGAUCUGAAGGGUGAUGGCAAGUCAAAACCCAUCUUAAAGUCUGCAGCUGAGGAAUCAAGCACCAAAAAAGGUCAGGCAACGGAUUCUGUGAAUGUGACCAAGGAUGUGGGGAUGUCUGCUCCACCUCUUCAUGCAACUGUUGAUCUCAAUUUCCUUCCUACUGAUUCUAAUCUAUCAGGAUCCACGCCUGUAAAUGGUGCACCAGCUGGAUCAAGUUUUCACACCAGUGAGGCAAGGAAGGAGUCUAAGGAGCUUCCCAAUGGUCUUCUCAAUAUUCAAAAGAAACUUCACAGCAAGAAGCCUUUUGGUUGUGAGACUCCCAUUGCAAAUGACUCAGCUACUCCUGCUGCCUCUCGGCGUAUUCCUUUCAAAAGAAAUCACUCCAAAGCGAUGGGUGGAAUGUUCCACACAGGUGUUCAGUGUGAUGGCUGUGAUUGUCAUCCAAUUGUUGGACCUCGAUUCAAGUCAAUAGUGAAAGAAAAUUAUGACCUCUGUCAGAUUUGUUUUGCAAGUAAGGGUAGUGCGACUGAUUACGUUAGGAUUGACCGCCCUAUCUCUUAUCGUCAUCCACAGCCCUUCAAGGGGUUGUAUGAGCAAGUCCUCCAUGGGUCGGCCCCCCAGUUAUGCCAAAAAUCUUGAGGUUUAAGUAUGAACCCAGGCCACCCUAAGCUUGAUAGCCACUUUGUAUUGGAUGUCAAUGUAAUGGAUGGUACAUUAAUAGCCCCCAUCUACUCCAUUUACCAAAAUAUGGCGGAUGCGCAACAACGGUAGUAUGGUGUGGCCUCAAGGAACAACACUUGUGUGGAUUGGGGGUGACAGAUUUAGCAAUUCAGAUUCAGUCGAGAUAGAGAUUCCUGCGGAUGGUGUGCCGGCUGAAAAUGAACUCGAUAUUGCCGUUGAUUUUACUGCCCCCGAUUCACCUGGUCACUACAUCUCACACUGGAGGAUGGCAACCCCGUCUGGCCAAAAGUUUGGUCAACGUGUUUGGGUUCUGAUCCAGGUUGAUGCUUCCUUGAAGGAUUCAUUCUUUGAGAGCUUUCAAGGUCUGAACUUGAAUUUGCCCCCAAAAGAAUAUGAAAAAAUGGAUGUGAACGUUCAACCAGCUGCUGUCAGUGACCUUCUCCAGCCUUCUGCUUCUACCCCACUCAAGGAACCGGUGAAGCCCGUGCCUACUGAACAGCCUGGACAUGACCAGGAGCUCCACUUCCCCAUCAACGAUAGCUUGCUGGUUGGCCACAGUGCCUCUGCCCCUACUGAGCCACAGGGUCCUUCAACUGUGUCGUAUCCCACUGUUGAGCCACAGGGUUCAACUGUGUCGUAUCCCACUGUUGAGCCACAGGGUUCGACUGUGUCGUAUCCCAUGGUUGAUAUCUAUGAAUCAGCCCCACCCUCCCCCAAAUCACCACCUGCUGUCAAUGCACCGGCAUCAUCUGAAGGGACCAGUUCAAACAAUGCUGUGGAAGAUACCAUGCUGAAGGAGCUCGAGGCGAUGGGGUUUAAGCAGGUCAAUUUGAACAAGGAGAUUCUGCGUAGGAAUGACUACAACCUGGAGCAGUCUGUCGAAGAUCUCUGCGAGGUUUCGGACUGGGAUCCUAUCCUUGAGGAGCUGCAGGAAAUGGGUUUCUGUGAUACCGAAAUGAACAAGAAGCUGCUGGUGAAGAACAAUGGAAGCAUCAAGCGUGUGGUUAUGGAUCUGAUCAACGGGGAGCCGCUUUAGAUGGAAGACAACUACUUAUAAUCCCUGUUAAUAUAUGUGUGUGUUUGUGUUUGUGUCCGGAAUAAUGGACUGGCAUUUUGCCAUUUGCAAUAUGAUGCUUUGAUUGCUUUUGGGGACCAUGUGCAUUGCAUUCUUAGUAUAUAAUUAUUUAUUAAGUAAAUUGGUACUGAUAUCUAAGUUAUGGAUUUAAUAUAAUCUCAAGUUAUGUA